rnacentral:rRNA from 1 species
UACGUAGGGUGCAAGCGUUGUCCGGAAUUAUUGGGCGUAAAGAGCUCGUAGGCGGCUUGUCGCGUCGGCUGUGAAAACUCGGGGCUCAACCCCGAGCCUGCAGUGGGUACGGGCAGACUAGAGUGUGGUAGGGGAGAUCGGAAUUCCUGGUGUAGCGGUGAAAUGCGCAGAUAUCAGGAGGAACACCGGUGGCGAAGGCGGAUCUCUGGGCCUGUCCUGACGCUGAGGCGCGAAAGCUAGGGGAGCGAACAGG